CAGCCGCCACGGGAAUACGUAGGUGGCAAGCGUUGUCCGGAAUUAUUGGGCGUAAAGCGCGCGCAGGCGGAUAGGUCAGUCUGUCUUAAAAGUUCGGGGCUUAACCCCGUGAUGGGAUGGAAACUGCCAAUCUAGAGUAUCGGAGAGGAAAGUGGAAUUCCUAGUGUAGCGGUGAAAUGCGUAGAUAUUAGGAAGAACACCAGUGGCGAAGGCGACUUUCUGGACGAAAACUGACGCUGAGGCGCGAAAGCCAGGGGAGCGAACGGGAUUAGAUACCCGCGUAGUCCCUGUCUCUUAUACC
rnacentral:rRNA from 1 species